AGAGUUUGAUCCUGGCUCAGAAUCAACGCUGGCGGCGUGCCUAACACAUGCAAGUCGCACGAGAAAGGGUAGCAAUACCUGAGUACAGUGGCGCACGGGUGAGUAACACGUGAAUCAUCUACCUUCGAGUGGGGAAUAACUGAGAGAAAUCUUAGCUAAUACCGCAUAAUACCUACGGGUCAAAGCAGCAAUGCGCUUGAAGAGGAGUUCGCGGCAGAUUAGUUAGUUGGCGGGGUAAUGGCCCACCAAGACGAUGAUCUGUAUCCGGCCUGAGAGGGCGCACGGACACACUGGAACUGAAACACGGUCCAGACUCCUACGGGAGGCAGCAGUGGGGAAUUUUGCGCAAUGGGGGAAACCCUGACGCAGCAACGCCGCGUGGAGGAUGAAAUCCCUUGGGAUGUAAACUCCUUUCGAUAGGGAAGAUAAUGACGGUACCUAUAGAAGAAGCCCCGGCUAACUUCGUGCCAGCAGCCGCGGUAAUACGAGGGGGGCAAGCGUUGUUCGGAAUUAUUGGGCGUAAAGGGUGCGUAGGCGGUUUGACAAGUCUUAUGUGAAAUCUUCGGGCUCAACCCGAAGUCUGCAUGGGAAACUGUCGGGCUUGAGUAUGGGAGAGGUGAGUGGAAUUUCCGGUGUAGCGGUGAAAUGCGUAGAUAUCGGAAGGAACACCUGUGGCGAAAGCGGCUCACUGGACCAUAACUGACGCUGAUGCACGAAAGCUAGGGAGCAAACAGGAUUAGAUACCCUGGUAGUCG
rnacentral:rRNA from 1 species